UACGUAGGGUGCAAGCGUUGUCCGGAAUUAUUGGGCGUAAAGAGCUCGUAGGCGGUUUGUUGCGUCGGCUGUGAAAUCCCGAGGCUCAACCUCGGGUCUGCAGUCGAUACGAGCAAACUAGAGUGUUGCAGGGGAGACUGGAAUUCCUGGUGUAGCGGUGAAAUGCGCAGAUAUCAGGAGGAACACCGGUGGCGAAGGCGGGUCUCUGGGCCGUAACUGACGCUGGAGGAGCGAAAGCGUGGGGAGCAAACAGG
rnacentral:rRNA from 1 species